rnacentral:rRNA from 1 species
UACGGGGGGGGCAAGCGUUGUUCGGAAUUACUGGGCGUAAAGGGCGCGUAGGCGGCUCGCUAAGUCGGAUGUGAAAACUCUGGGCUCAACCCAGAGCCUGCAUUCGAAGCUGACGAGCUGGAGUUCUGGAGGGGAAAGCGGAAUUCCUGGUGUAGCGGUGAAAUGCGUAGAUAUCAGGAGGAACACCGGUGGCGAAGGCGGCUUUCUGGACAGAAACUGACGCUGAUGCGCGAAAGCUAGGGGAGCAAACAGG